rnacentral:rRNA from 1 species
GUCGGGAAUUUUGGGCAAUGGGCGAAAGCCUGACCCAGCAACGCCGCGUGAAGGACGAAGUCUUUCGGGAUGUAAACUUCGUAAGAAUGGGAAGAAUAAAUGACGGUACCAUUUGUAAGCCCCGGCUAACUACGUGCCAGCAGCCGCGGUAAUACGUAGGGGGCAAGCGUUGUUCGGAUUUACUGGGCGUAAAGGGCGCGUAGGCGGCGUGACAAGUCAGUUGUGAAAUCUCUGAGCUUAACUCAGAACGGUCAACUGAUACUGUUGUGCUAGAGUGCAGAAGGGGCAACCGGAAUUCUUGGUGUAGCGGUGAAAUGCGUAGAUAUCAAGAGGAACACCUGAGGUGAAGACGGGUUGCUGGGCUGACACUGACGCUGAGGCGCGAAAGCUAGGGUAGCAAACGGGAUUAGAAACCCUUGUAGUCC